UAGGGAAUCUUCCACAAUGGACGCAAGUCUGAUGGAGCAACGCCGCGUGAGUGAAGAAGGUUUUCGGACCGUAAAGCUCUGUUGUUGGUGAAGAAGGAUAGAGGUAGUAACUGGCCUUUAUUUGACGGUAAUCAACCAGAAAGUCACGGCUAACUACGUGCCAGCAGCCGCGGUAAUACGUAGGUGGCAAGCGUUGUCCGGAUUUAUUGGGCGUAAAGCGAGCGCAGGCGGAAGAAUAAGUCUGAUGUGAAAGCCCUCGGCUUAACCGAGGAAUUGCAUCGGAAACUGUUUUCUUGAGUGCAGAAGAGGAGAGUAGAACUCCAUGUGUAGCGGUGGAAUGCGUAGAUAUAUGGAAGAAUACCAGUGGCGAAGGCGGCUCUCUGGUCUGCAACUGACGCUGAGGCUCGAAAGCAUGGGUAGCGAACAGGAUUAGAUACCCUGGUAGUCCAUGCCGUAAACGAUGAGUGCUAAGUGUUGGGAGGCUUCCGCCUCUCAGUGCUGCAGCUAACGCAUUAAGCACUCCGCCUGGGGGAGUACGACCGCAAGGUUGAAACUCAAA
rnacentral:rRNA from 1 species